GAGCCCUUCACUUCAGUGAGGUUUAUAUUAAUUAUUUGGAUGGAAGAUGUGGCUUCGACUACGGAGUAGAACGUUGAAUGUCUGAAGUGAUUAGUAGCAUUCUAGUUCGCCAUGGCGAGCCGAUGCGGAGUUUUUUAGUCAAGAAAGAAACCGCCGGGUAGCUCGCGCACUUCACUCGUGGUCGCUUGAGCCGCCGGUUUGUGCGCUAUGGCAUCUCAAGCCACCAGUCACAGCAUGCCACCUGUCGGGUUAGGCUCGUCGCGCCAUCCAUGCAUUGGCACUGUGGAAAGUGAUGGCACGCCCAGCAACAGUGGCAAUGAGUCUGAUGGCCGCCAGCCGCAGGGCAGCAGCGGCAGGUGGCGUGUGCGGGAGGGUGGCGGCCGCCGAACACCGACGCACAGCGGCCUACUGAAGCGUCGUGUACCACAGCACGGUGAGAGGCAGAUGCGGAAGAAAAGUGACGUAACCACCAUGAAGGAAUGCAUUAAAAGUAUGGAAAAGUUCCUUAAACCAACGGAAGCCAGUAAGCUCCCUGCUGGUCGCUCCUCGUUCUUUCUCAUCUGUCUAGUCUUGCUCCUAUGUGUGUUAGCUGCCUUGUCACCUCGGAUUCUACCCAGAAUCAUCUCCUUCGUGACGUCGCGCCUUGUGUUUGAGCAUGUACCCGGUGCUCACCCGGUGACAUAGAUCAUGUACGGCUGUAACCUUCUACUCUAGUCGUUGCACGAGGUUGGGUGCUGCUGGCGGCGUGCCGUGCCGCUUUGGAACUGUCCCCGCUCACCGCGGACACUGCCUGCGCGCGUCCUGCGAUCGACGGGGCGGCGCACGUCGGUUUGGUCCCCGGGGUGUUUUUGCCGCCGGAAGAAAAGUGAGACUUCGGCCCGGACCAGGCAAACGCAGAAGUCUGCCAUGUCCAAAUGGCGGAGCUCAACUGGCGUCGAACGUUGCUGAGGUAUGACGCCACCUUCUGUCGUAGCUCCCAGUAUAGCUUGAUAUGAUCAUCAUAAUAUCAUUAUGGUAUUUAUAUUUUAUCCAAACGGCAUUUCCAAUCCCAUCAGAGCUGCUGAUGCUGCUAGCACCCAUCUGUCCCAUUGCCAGAGGCCUUGCAUGUGCUAUCCACGCUGAUUUCCAACCACGCUUUCUUGAUAAUAUUUUCAUUGAAAUGUUGUUUUUUAUCUAGUAGAGUUAGGCAUCCGAACGCUGCUAUUUGCCGACCUAUUACCCAGUACACUCCCCUGUCUUGUCAUGAGCUUUAUAUCAAAUUUUCUAUCAUCAUCACCUGCUCACCAUUGGGCCGGCUUUGCUGGCCAUAGCGCUGUUUGCAGAGGUUUUUUUUUAACAGAUGUCAGUUCAGCUGCACUUUAUGUAGUAAAUGUGUUGGAAAGAGUUCAGCUCUUGUGUCCUCUC